GACGAACCGUGCGAACGUUGUUCGGAUUCACUGGGCUUAAAGGGCGCGUAGGCGGGCGACCAAGUCAGGGGUGAAAUCCUUCAGCUUAACUGGAGAACAGCCUCUGAUACUGGCCGUCUGGAGGGAGGUAGGGGCCUGUGGAACUGCUGGUGGAGCGGUGAAAUGCGUAGAUAUCAGCAGGAACGCCGGUGGCGAAAGCGACGGGCUGGACCUCAUCUGACGCUGAGGCGCGAAAGCUAGGGGAGCAAACGGG
rnacentral:rRNA from 1 species